UUACUUCAGCAGCACAUACACUAAAAUUGGAACAAUACAGAGAGGAUUAGCAUGGUCCCUGUGCUAGGAUGAUACAGGAAUUAGUGAAGUGUUUCAUACUUAA
ensembl:snRNA U6 U6 spliceosomal RNA